UGAGGAAUAUUGGUCAAUGGGCGCGAGCCUGAACCAGCCAAGUCGCGUGAAGGAAGACGGAUCUAUGGUUUGCAAACUUCUUUAGUGUGGGAACAAAGCGUGGUUGCGACCGCAGAUGAGUGUACCACAAGAAUAAGCAUCGGCUAACUCCGUGCCAGCAGCCGCGGUAAUACGGAGGAUGCGAGCGUUAUCCGGAUUUAUUGGGUUUAAAGGGAGCGUAGGCGGGCUGUUAAGUCAGCGGUCAAAUGUCAGGGCCCAACCUUGGCAUGCCGUUGAUACUGGCGGCCUUGAGUUCACACAAGGAAGGUGGAAUUCGUCGUGUAGCGGUGAAAUGCUUAGAUAUGACGAAGAACUCCGAUUGCGAAGGCAGCCUUCUGGGGUGUUACUGACGCUGAGGCUCGAAAGUGCGGGAAUCAAACAGGAUUAGAUACCCUGGUAGU
rnacentral:rRNA from 1 species